rnacentral:rRNA from 1 species
UACGUAGGUGGCAAGCGUUGUCCGGAAUUAUUGGGCGUAAAGCGCACGUAGGUGGUCCCUUAAGUCGAAUGUGAAAUCCCUCGGCUCAACCGAGGACGUGCAUCCGAAACUGAGGGGCUAGAGUAUGGUAGAGGGUCGCGGAAUUCCCGGUGUAGAGGUGAAAUUCGUAGAUAUCGGGAGGAACACCGGUGGCGAAGGCGGCGACCUGGGCCAAUACUGACACUGAGGUGCGAAAGCGUGGGGAGCAAACAGG